rnacentral:misc_RNA from 1 species
AGAGAGAUAAAACUAAAGUAGAGAAGUGCUCAAGCAAAAAGAAUCAAGGUAGGGGGAGAGGAAGGAGAAAGAAUAAUACAAGUAGAAAUUAAAUGAAAUGCUUGAGAAACAAAUGCAAAAUUAUCCAUAGCAGGUAAGAAAUUCCUCGUCAGACGUGACUAAAUACAAUUUUAGUAAAUAAAUAACACAAAAAUUCAUGUCUCUAAGGUUUUAAAAGCAAAUUCAAAAGAAACUGUAGGAGGAAGUGUCUAGUGGAUGAAUGAGGUAUGUAAGCACGAGAGCAACCAUCAUCAACACGUAGGUAUGAAGCAAAUUUAACCAACACAUCACAAAAUCUUCCAAUAAUUUUUAGUUUACAACAACAUUGAGCAUCCAAAUAUUCACAUUACAUUACAGGAUCCAAAAAUGAACAAUGCCAUUAAAUGAAAAAGAAAACAUUUUUCAUGACUUCAAAU